CCUCCGAGAAAAUAAAGUCCAGUUCCUUGUUUAUUUGCAGACCUGCCCACUGUGGGACUAAAUCAGAGGCACUUAAAGAGGUGACUUAGCUGGACUUUUAUUUCCUUCUGUGGUGAUAACCUCAGAAUUUCACCUAGCUGCUCCUGAAUGAAGAAUCUUCAUACUGGGCAUGCAUGUGGGGCUGCAAGGGACAUUCUCUGGGACAGCUGUCUGAAAAUAGAAUUGCUAGAGCAAAUAGUUUUCAAGCAGCCCUCUAGCAUGGGCUUACCACCUGCCUAAUUCAGCUCCCUGAUGAAGAGCUGCUACUGAGAACUUUAAGAAGAGGUAUGCAGUGUUCACUUGUUUCUUGCAAAGACUGCUGCAGAAGCCAUUGCUGCAGUCCCCAGAGGGCCUACAGCUCAUGAGGGAAGUAGGAAGACAGCUUCUGUGUGACACCAGACUCUG